GUGACAGAGUUAAUCAGAGCUCUGGAAGUGCUGCUUGGGACCCCUCCUGAGAGAAGCAGAGCUGCAAAUCCAGAGGAGGAGCUCAAGAUCCAAGCGCAGGCUGCAGAGGCAGCUGUGCCCCCCGUGCACAGCCUGGCCAGUGAGAAGAAACCAGAAGGGCAGGAUCCUGAGCUCCUUCAGCUUGGGGAGCUGUGCAGCAGGAAAGAUGCUUUUUCCAGCCUGCUUGGGCAUGAGGAGCAUGAUUUAGAUCUCCAGUUGGUUUAUCGGACUGAGCUGGAGGUGGAGGGUCUGGUGGCAGCUUCCCCCCUUGCCAAGACCCUGUGUGAGA